AGACGUCUACAUUAGAUACCCCUGUAGUCCAGGGUGUAAACGCUGCAGACUUGGUGUUGGAAGUCCUUUGGGGGCAUUCAGUGCCGGAGAGAAGUUGUUAAGUCUGCUACUUGGGGAGUACGUCCGCAAGGAUGAAACUUAAAGGAAUUGGCGGGGAGCACCGCAACGGGAGGAGCGUGCGGUUUAAUUGGAUUCAACACCGUAAAACUCACCAGGGAAGACUGUUACAUGAAAGCCGAGAUGAAGACUCUGCUAGAUUUUCAG
rnacentral:rRNA from 1 species